rnacentral:rRNA from 1 species
CUACGGGAGGCACCAGUGGGGAAUAUUGCACAAUGGAGGAAACUCUGAUGCAGCAACGCCGCGUGGAGGAUGACACUUUUCGGAGCGUAAACUCCUCUUAUAUAGGAAGAAGAUGACGGUACUAUAUGAAUAAGCGCCGGCUAACUCCGUGCCAGCAGCCGCGGUAAUACGGAGGGCGCAAGCGUUACUCGGAAUCACUGGGCGUAAAGAGCGUGUAGGCGGAUUAAAAAGUCAGAAGUGAAAUCCUAUAGCUUAACUAUAGAACUGCUUCUGAAACUCUUAAGCUAGAAUAUGGGAGAGGUAGAUGGAAUUCCUGGUGUAGGGGUAAAAUCCGUAGAGAUCAGAAGGAAUACCGAUUGCGAAGGCGAUCUACUAGAACAUUAUUGACGCUGAGACGCGAAAGCGUGGGGAGCAAACAGGAUUAGAUACCCGGGUAGUC